rnacentral:rRNA from 1 species
UGGUGGAGUGAUUUGUCUGGUUAAUUCCGAUAACGAUCGAGACCUUAACCUGCUAAAUAGUCACUCAUAGACUUCUACCAAAGCACAUUGUGGCGUAGUAUGAAGGUUCGCUGGAGUGUGAAACCAUGGUGUGUGGAUGACUAUGAGGACGUACUUCUUAGAGGGACUACCCAAUGUUUAAAUUGGGUGGAAGUUUAAGGCAAUAACA